rnacentral:lncRNA from 1 species
AUGUUAACAGCCUCUUUUUCUUUAUUUUUGAGAACAGAUGGGUAUACUGGAGAAGAAACAACAACUCAUACGGCCAUGAAUUUCCUUGGCCAUUCACAUACUGCACAAAUGAUCCCCACGGAGAACAGCACAGGCGUGACUGAGUUCGCUCUUGCCGGGAUAACUGAUGACCCACAGCUGCAGAUCCCGCUCUUUCUCGUGUUCGUGCUCAUCUACCUCCUCACUCUGGUUGGGAACCUGGGUGUGAUCACACUGAUCCUGCUGGACUCUCGUCUCCACACUCCCAUGUACGUCUUCCUCAGCCACCUCUCCCUGAUGGACUUUGGUUACUCCACAGCCGUCACUCCCAAAGUGAUGGCUGGCUUCCUCAUGGGAGACAAGGUCAUUUCCUACAAUGCUUGUGUUGCUCAGUUAUAUUUUUUUGCCGUCUUUCUGAUUGUAGAAACUUUUCUCUUGGCCUCAAUGGCCUAUGACCAUCAUGCCGCAGUGUGUAAGCCACUCCAUUACACCAACAUCAUGACACCAAGGAUGUGUGCCUGGAUGGUCGUAGGAUGCUAUGUCUUUGGUUUUCUGGAGGCCUCUGUUCACACUUGGAAUGCAUUCAGUCUCCCUUUCUGCAGAUCCAAUGUGGUUGAUCACUUCUUUUGUGAUGCUACACCUCUCCUGGCUCUCUCAUGCUCAGACAACAACAGAAGUGAGAUGGUGUUUUUUAUUCUGGCAGGCUUCAAUAUCAUCUUUACUAUUAUGGUCAUCCUGGUCUCCUACCUGUUUAUCUUUGUCACCAUUCUGAGGGUGCGCUCAUCUGAAGGACAUCAGAAGGCCUUUUCCACCUGUGCUUCCCACCUCACUUCCAUCUCCAUCUUCUAUGGGACAGGCGCCUUCAUGUACCUACAGCCCAGCUCCCACCAUUCCAGGAGCACAGACAAAAUAGCGUCUGUAUUCUACGCCAUAGUCAUCCCCAUGCUGAAUCCGCUUAUCUAUAGCCUGAGGAACAAAGAGGUCAAGAGCGCCUUAAAAAAGGCUGUGGGGAAAGCAAAGUCUUCUCUAAGAUACAUAUUUUAA